CAGAGUUGAAAAACUCCCUAACCCUUUGUUUACAUACCUGUUCAGUUGCUUCGGCAGGCGGCCCCAGGGCGGGGCCUCCAGCCUGCUCACGCAGGUGCCUGCCGCUGGCGCAAAAAAACUCUGUUAUAUAUUACCACUCUGAGUCUAAAAACAAAUGAAUCAAAACUUUCAACAACGGAUCUCUUGGUUCUGGCAACGAUGAAGAACGCAGCGAAAUGCGAUAAGUAAUGUGAAUUGCAGAAUUCAGUGAAUCAUCGAAUCUUUGAACGCACAUUGCGCCCAUUAGUAUUCUAGUGGGCAUGCCUGUUCGAGCGUCAUUACAACCCUCAAGCGCUGUAGUGCUUGGUGUUGGGGCAUCUGCUGCUUAUAGCAGGCCCUGAAAGAUAGCGGCGAGCUCGCCGUGACCCUGAGCGUAGUAGUUUACACCUCGCUUCUGUGGUUCAUAGCGGGUCUUCAGCCGUGAAAACCCCCUAAUUUUCACAAGGUUGACCUCGGAUCAGGUAGGAAUACCCGCUGAACUUAAGCAUAUCAAUAAGCGGAGGAAUCGGCAUCUUGGUCAUUUAGAGGAAGUAAAAGUCGUAACAAGGUCUCCGUUGGUGAACCAGCGGAGGGAUCAUUACCGAGUUUACAACUCCCAAACCCCUGUGAACAUACCACUUGUUGCCUCGGCGGAUCAGCCCGCUCCCGGUAAAACGGGACGGCCCGCCAGAGGACCCCUAAACUCUGUUUCUAUAUGUAACUUCUGAGUAAAACCAUAAAUAAAUCA
rnacentral:misc_RNA from 1 species